UGAAUACGAGACGCUAAGGCGUCGAAGUAGUGUAUGUCAUACUUCCAAGAAAAGCUUGCACUGUCAUAGAUAAAAAACGCCUGUACCAUAACCGACACAGGUGGGUAGGUAGAGUAUACUAAGGGGCGCGAGAUAACUCUCUCUAAGGAACUCGGCAAAAUAACUCCGUAACUUCGGGAGAAGGAGUGCCUUAUUCGUAAGGUUGCAAUAACAAGAUCCAAGCAACUGUUUAUCAAAAACACAGGUCUCCGCUAAGUCGUAAGACGAUGUAUGGGGGCUGACGCCUGCCCAGUGCCAGAAGGUUAAAGAAGUUGGUUAGCAAUUGCGAAGCUGAUAACUGAAGCCCUGGUGAACGGCGGCCGUAACGAUAACGGUCCUAAGGUAGCGAAAUUCCUUGUCGGGUAAGUUCCGACCCGCACGAAAGGCGUAAUGAUUUGGAUACUGUCUCGGAGAGGGGCUCGGUGAAAUAGACUUGUCUGUGAAGAUGCGGACUACCUGCACCAGGACAGAAAGACCCUAUGAAGCUUUACUGUAACUUGAAAUUGAAAUUGGACUUUAUUCGCGCAGUAUAGGUGGGAGGCGUUGAUUAUAAUCUUGUGGGAUUAUUGGAGCCAUCAGUGAGAUACCACUCUUGUAAUGUUAGAUUUCUAACUUUGAAUCAUUAUCUGGUCAAAGAACAGUUUCAGGCGGGCAGUUUGACUGGGGCGGUCGCCUCCUAAACGGUAACGGAGGCGUACAAAGGUUUCCUCUGAACGGUUAGAAAUCGUAUCUAGAGUGUAAAGGCAUAAGGAAGCUUGACUGUGAGACCUACAAGUCGAGCAGGGACGAAAGUCGGUCUUAGUGAUCUGACGGUACUGAGUGGAAAGGCCGUCACUCAACGGAUAAAAGUUACUCUAAGGAUAACAGGCUGAUCUCCCCCAAGAGUUCACAUCGACGGGGAGGUUUGGCACCUCGAUGUCGGCUCAUCGCAUCCUGGGGCGGUAGUACGUCCCAAGGGUUGGGCUGUUCGCCCAUGAAAGCGGUACGCGAGCUGGGUUCAGAACGUCGUGAGACAGUUCGGUCCAUAUCCGGUGUAGGCGUUAGAAUAUUGAGAGGAGCCUUCUUUAGUACGAGAGGACCGAGAAGGACAUACCUCUGGUGUACCAGUUAUCGUGCCAACGGUAAACGCUGGGUAGCUAUGUAUGGAGUGGAUAACCGCUGAAAGCAUCUAAGUGGGAAGCCCACCUCAAGAUAAGUAUUCUCAC
rnacentral:rRNA from 1 species